UACGAAGGGGGCUAGCGUUGUUCGGAAUCACUGGGCGUAAAGGGCGCGUAGGCGGUCGUUUAAGUUAGAUGUGAAAGGCCUGGGCUUAACCUGGGCACUGCAUUUAAGACUGGAUGACUGGAGGACGAGAGAGGUGAGUGGAAUUACGAGUGUAGAGGUGAAAUUCGUAGAUAUUCGUAAGAACACCAGUGGCGAAGGCGGCUCACUGGCUCGUAUCUGACGCUAAGGCGCGAAAGCGUGGGGAGCAAACAGG
rnacentral:rRNA from 1 species